GUAGGGAAUCUUCCACAAUGGACGAAAGUCUGAUGGAGCAACGCCGCGUGAGUGAAGAAGGGUUUCGGCUCGUAAAGCUCUGUUGGUAGUGAAAGAAAGAUAGAGGUAGUAACUGGCCUUUAUUGACGGUAAUUACUUAGAAAGUCACGGCUAACUACGUGCC
rnacentral:rRNA from 1 species